rnacentral:lncRNA from 1 species
GGCUAAACUGGCAUAGCAAGGACAAAAGCCAAUGUCUCAGUCAGUGGCUUGCUAUGACAAGGGUUUUAUUUCUCAAUACCGCAAAAUCUAAUAAAGAUCUGGGCACCCUUUAGGGGAACUAUUUCGCUUAUAGAAACCUAGCAAUUUAGACUGAGGACUUCACAGUCCUGUAGCUGCUCCAUUAGGAGCAGGAAACCUCUCUGAUCAACCAAGCAGGCUUACAGGGACACUCACCAGAUAAAGGACUGAAUGGUACUCACCAGGUGUUCUCUGCUGUAGACUGCAUAUGGCCUGAGCCACUCAGCUGCAAGAGGCCCAAAAAGUGCAGAGAAGUCUUCUAUAUCAAUAUAUAAAAGGGAAGAGAACAGAUUUUGGUGAAUGUUGGGAAUAUCUGCUUUACAGGUCA